rnacentral:rRNA from 1 species
CAGCAGCCACGGUAAUACGUAGGUGGCAAGCGUUGUCCGGAAUUAUUGGGCGUAAAGGGCUCGCAGGCGGUUUCUUAAGUCUGAUGUGAAAGCCCCCGGCUCAACCGGGGAGGGUCAUUGGAAACUGGGAAACUUGAGUGCAGAAGAGGAGAGUGGAAUUCCACGUGUAGCGGUGAAAUGCGUAGAGAUGUGGGGGAACACCAGUGGCGAAGGCGACUCUCUGGUCUGUAACUGACGCUGAGGAGCGAAAGCGUGGGGAGCGAACAGGAUUAGAUACCCCCGUAGUCCCUGUCUCUUAUAC